CGGUAGCUAAAUGCGGAAGAGAUAAGUGCUGAAAGCAUCUAAGCACGAAACUUGCCCCGAGAUGAGUUCUCCCUGACUCCUUGAGAGUCCUGAAGGAACGUUGAAGACGACGACGUUGAUAGGCCGGGUGUGUAAGCGCAGCGAUGCGUUGAGCUAACCGGUACUAAUGAACCGUGAGGCUUAACCUUACAACGCCGAAGCUGUU
rnacentral:rRNA from 2 species